CACCAUACAUUGCUCGUUGCAGGAUUUGAAAACAAACAUUUCUCUUCUUAGGGAAGGAUCAUGGAGUUUAUCCAAUCAAGGUCCCACAGAGGGAGUUAAGAGUUGCAGUAACCUGGCAUGAUUAAUCCCUGAUUCCAGCCUUUAUGAAACACGUGCAACAACCUGCCAGGUCUCCCCGGGCGCUAGAAACAGCUUCAGUCCUGCUCGCUGAAUGAGUUAUCCUGUUGAUACGGAGUGCUGUUGUUAAUGCCAUUGCCGAGAAUUACAAAGUGAAAUAAAGACAGUUCCUUUAUCUGGAGAUGUCAGAAUUCAAAAGCAACAGACUGAUUUCUGUCCCCAUCAUUUAUCACAGAUUGCAAAGGAGGAGAGACACUCAAGAAAAGGAUGAGUACCUCACUCCAAGAGUGCUGGGCACUUUGGGGAUAACCCCUGGAUUGGGAAGAUCCCCUGGAGAAGAAAAUGGCAACCCACUCCAGUAUUCUUGCCUGGAGAAUCCCAUGGACGGAGAGUGGGGUACAGUCCUUGGGGUCGAAAGAGUCGGACACGAGUGAGCAACUUCACUUUCACUUUCUGGAGCGGGAGUUUUUAAUCCUACAGAGUUUUACGAACUGAAAAUCAUGCCUUUUUUUAUGUCCUAAAGACAAAGUAACUACAAGGCCAGUUUUUACUAUAGAAUAAAUGACUACCUUCUCAGGAAUAGCUCUGUAUGGAAUGUAUGCUAUGGCUGGCAUGAGACCCACUAAACAAACUAGAUAUAACUUGACAUUCUAGAUAAAGCCACGUCAAAAAGGAAGAGGCACAAUCUGGCCUACUAAAUCAGCUACUUAUUCAUUUAGUUCAUUUGCAUAAUCCCACUCAGCCUCAAACUAGGCCAUGUAUCCUUACAGAAGAAAAGCCUCAGAGACAUUCAUCUAAAUAGAAUUAAAAUCUGGAAUUUUACUUGGAUUGAUUGAAAAACUGACCUUCAUCUGCUUAUGAGAAGGCUGCAAAAAUGUGUGUCACUUAAUAGACUGGUAGACUUUGUGGAUCACAUUUUAUUUGUAAUGAAUUCUAAGGAACUUGUGUCCCAAUUCAGUUUUUUAAUAGUAGAAAUUAUGGUUCAUGGAAUAGGUGUUAAACUGGUAUUUCAUGAACCUUGGAAGAACUUUGACUAUAUUGGUUGUUGUUAUAGGGUUUGUUCCAUUUUUUAUCACGAGAAAUGUGAUCUGGCUUCUAUUUUAAAAAUUUCCAGUUGGGGAAAAAACAUGAUUUUGAGUUUGUUUUUACUAUUGCCACUUUACCCUCUCCCUCUGACAGAUGUAAAUCUGACAUUGACUUUUUAUUCUGUCCUGAUGUAUAUCCUUUUGCAUAUUCCAGACUCUUUCUGGGUAUUUUAAUAACAGUAACUAGCAUUGUAUACUUACCUCUAU